GGAAAUGUGGCUUAGUGGUAGAGUGUUUGCAUAGCAUGCAGGAAGCCCUGGGUUCAAUUCCUCAGCACCA
rnacentral:tRNA from 1 species